rnacentral:lncRNA from 12 species
AAAAAAGUGGGGAUUAGUCAGUGUCGGUUCUUUGGCUGUGAAAUGUUGAUUGCAGAUACUUGAGCGGGGCCUCUCUAACCUAAAAAGCUGACACUGUGACUUGCUGCCAAAGCUGCUGGUUACAGGGUGAGCCUCAGGCCAAGCCUGAAUGACACAGCAGGCCCAAAAUAAACUGUAACCUUCUCCCGUGUAACACGCUCCUUUCGAUUUGGGUUCCGUGAAAAGCGGCGCUUGUGGGAUUGUUUCGGCUUUUACUGGAAAGCACGAGGUGUGGAGGAGGACGAUCAAAUCUCACCCUAAAAAUUGCACCUGUGACUCAGACUACAGGCUAUCUGGAUCUGCCUGUACGAGUACCUCUCAGGAAGUAAAAAGGUCAUCACCGGGAAUGAAUUUGGUCACCUUACCCUGGUACAUAUUUACAAAACUCAAGGAAGUGCCAUGGAAUUUGAUGCAGAUAUCAGUCUCACUUCAAAGGGGUACCAGAAUUGAAGUGAUAGGAAUCUCACAGACCAAGAUUGAGGAAAAGAGUUUGAUGCCUUGUGAAUUGAAGGAUAAGACCUUCUCCUUGGGUGUUGAAUCAGAGCGAUUCAUCCUUGUGGCUUGGGGGUGCACAGAGCAGAAAUCAGAUUGUCUCAGGUAAAUAUGACCUAAAGUUUGGCCACAGAUGGCUUGUCUCCACAGCCAAGCAAACUAUUUCAGGAAAAGAGGAGAGGAUCCAGGCUGAAUGCAGACAGAUGUCAGGAGAGAGAGGCAGUGCAGUGGGGCAGCUGCUCUGUCCUCCCCUGGCACAGAUCCUGUGCUCUUCCCAGGAGGUGCUGCUGGUCUGGGGCAAGAGGGGGAGACAGACCCUACCUGCAGCUGAGAAAUCUGGAAAAUGUGCAAAGCCACCAUGCUGAUGGUGACCUGCUGCUCAGAAUUGCUCCUUAUCUUAAACCCACGCUGCCCAUCCUGCUGCCAAGGCAGCUGGGAGCCUGUCCCAGCCCUCUGCUGCAUGGGGCAGGAGAGGCAGCACACAGAAAUCCU